UAAGGGUCCGUAGCCGGUUUGAUCAGUCUUCCGGGAAAUCUGACAGCUCAACUGUUAGGCUUCUGGGGGAUACUGUCAGACUUGGAACCGGGAGAGGUAAGAGGUACUACAGGGGUAGGAGUGAAAUCUUGUAAUCCUUGUGGGACCACCAGUGGCGAAGGCGUCUUACCAGAACGGGUUCGACGGUGAGGGACGAAAGCUGGGGGCACGAACCGGAUUAGAUACCCGGGUAGUCCCAGCCGUAAACGAUGCUCGCUAGGUGUCUGGGAUGGUGCGACCGUUUCAGGUGCCGCAGGGAAGCCGUGAAGCGAGCCACCUGGGAAGUACGGCCGCAAGGCUGAAACUUAAAGGAAUUGGCGGGGGAGCACUACAACGGGUGGAGCCUGCGGUUUAAUUGGACUCAACGCCGGAAAACUCACCUGGGGCGACAGCAAUAUGUAGGUCAGGCUGAAGGUCUUACCUGAAUCGCUGAGAGGAGG
rnacentral:rRNA from 1 species